rnacentral:lncRNA from 1 species
AUGAGUGGAUGGAUAGAUAGAGUGGGUGCUCUCCUUGUUUCCUUUAUUCGCUCACUGAUAAGAACACACUGGUCAGAAAGGAGGGUAAAUAUAACUGGAUCAAUGGUCUUUCUCUCCCUUUUGCUCUUGGCCUUCCGGGCAGAGAGGGAGGGCUCUUGUCCUUGGCGUUCCUUCGCUUCCCUUCCCUCCCUCAACGCAACGCUUUUGCGUUGUUUUGCCAAGUUUCGUAUUUCUGGGGCAUUUAGUUGUGUCGUUAUAGUCAUAAGGCAUUAUGUGGGUCCGGAUUGUGGUUUGUGGUGUGGUUGUGUUGUUACAACCGGGAGGAAAGGCUUUUGCAUUGUGUUGCCAAGUUUCGUAUUUCUGGGAUUUUUGGCAACACAAUGCAAAAGGCUUGCCUCCAGGUUACAACAACACAACCACACCACAAAACCACAAUCCAGACCCACAAAACUCACAACAACGCAUCAUGCGAUAACAACACAACUAAACACCCCAGAAAUACAAAACUUGCCAACACAAUGCAAAACCACAAUCCAGACCCACAAAACUCGCAACAAUGCAUCGUGACUUUAACAACACAACUAAACGCCCCAGAAAUAUAAAACUUGGCACACAACUAAACGCCCCAGAAAUACAAAACUUGGCAACACAACACAAAAGCCUUGCCUCUCAGUUGUAACAACACAACCACACCACAAAACCACAAUCCGGACCCACAAAAAUCACAACAACGCAUUGUGACUAUAACAAAUACAAAAUUUGACAACACAACUCAUCCACCUCCCCAAUCCCUACAUUCACACUUGGCCUCCAAAAAAACAAUUACAAUAAUAACAAUGACAACAACAACAACAACAACAAUAAGAAUCAACACCAUCACAGGCAAGAAACAGCCAGGCACUGAGGCUGAGAGGCCAGUCAGUGCUACACUGGGCCUCCAAAAAUAAUACAGUAGCAUCUAACUUAUCCAACCUUCAUAAUCACUACAACAACAAUAAUAAUAAACACCUACACAGGCAAAAGAAAAAAAAAGACUAUUGUACCACAAUAAAAAUAUAAACCGCACUCAGCAGAAUCAGACAUUACAAUUAACAACAAACCAAAGACAACAGGGAUCUCAAGCAAUUAUCAAUCAACACAAAAACCGAAGAAGGUAACAGAUUUCAAAUACUACUACUAAUGUGAGUAUAAAGAAGGUGGAGGUCACAGCAUAAAUACAACCUAAUGUAGACUGACCAACACCACCAGACUAAGACACAGCAACGCGUGGCCGGGCACAGCUAGUAUAACAUAAUAUAAAUAAAAUCUUUGUGUGAUUACAAUUGUCAGAGAGAACACAGACUGGAUGAUUCAACAACACUUCAUUGAGGGAACCAAUUUCCACACGGAGCAGCUGGGCUAUGUAGAAAGCCUUCCUGCACUCAAGCGUGCCCGAUACACUUAAUUUUAGCCUCUUCUAUCUCCAUAAAUCUG